AUAGGGCCUCGGACAAGAGUCCGGGGGCUGCCCCUCGAGGCGGAGCUAGAGCGUGCACGCUGGGACCCGAAAGAUGGUGAACUAUGCCUGGGCAGGCUGAGGCCAAGUGAAAGCUUGGUGGAGGGCCGCAGCGAUUCUGACGUGCAAAUCGAUCGUCCGACCUGGGUAUAGGGGCGAAAGACUAAUCGAACCAUCUAAUAGCUGGUUCCCUCCGAAGUUUCCCUCAGGAUAGCUGGCGCUCACGCAAGCAGUUGUAUCCGGUAAAGCCAAUGAUUAGAGUGACCGGGGGAGGAAUUCCCUCGGACUAUUCUCAAACUUUAAAUGGGUACGAAGCCCCGGUCGCUUACGCUUGUGUCUAAGA
rnacentral:rRNA from 1 species